GAUGAACGCUGGCGGCGUGCCUAAUACAUGCAAGUCGAGCGAACAGAUGAGGAGCUUGCUCCUCUGACGUUAGCGGCGGACGGGUGAGUAACACGUGGAUAACCUACCUAUAAGACUGGGAUAACUUCGGGAAACCGGAGCUAAUACCGGAUAAUAUAUUGAACCGCAUGGUUCAAUAGUGAAAGACGGUUUUGCUGUCACUUAUAGAUGGAUCCGCGCCGCAUUAGCUAGUUGGUAAGGUAACGGCUUACCAAGGCAACGAUGCGUAGCCGACCUGAGAGGGUGAUCGGCCACACUGGAACUGUGACACGGUCCAGACUCCUACGGGAGGCAGCAGUAGGGAAUCUUCCGCAAUGGGCGAAAGCCUGACGGAGCAACGCCGCGUGAGUGAUGAAGGUCUUCGGAUCGUAAAACUCUGUUAUUAGGGAAGAACAAAUGUGUAAGUAACUAUGCACGUCUUGACGGUACCUAAUCAGAAAGCCACGGCUAACUACGUG
rnacentral:rRNA from 1 species